rnacentral:rRNA from 1 species
CCCAGACUCCUACGGGAGGCAGCAGUGAGGAAUAUUGGUCAAUGGGCGGGAGCCUGAACCAGCCAAGUCGCGUGAGGGACGACGGUCCUAUGGAUUGUAAACCUCUUUUGUCGGGGAGCAAAAGACGCCGCGCGUGGCGUUCCGAGAGUACCCGAAGAAAAAGCAUCGGCUAACUCCGUGCCAGCAGCCGCGGUAAUACGGAGGAUGCGAGCGUUAUCCGGAUUUAUUGGGUUUAAAGGGUGCGCAGGCGGAGGUGCAAGUCAGUGGUCAAAUUGCGGGGCUCAACCCCGUACUGCCGUUGAAACUGCAUCCCUUGAGUGCGCGAGAAGUAUGCGGAAUGCGUGGUGUAGCGGUGAAAUGCAUAGAUAUCACGCAGAACUCCGAUUGCGAAGGCAGCAUACCGGCGCGCAACUGACGCUCAUGCACGAAAGCGUGGGUAUCGAACAGGAUUAGAUACCCUAGUAGU